rnacentral:rRNA from 1 species
CCUACGGGUGGCAGCAGUAGGGAAUAUUGCUCAAUGGGGGAAACCCUGAAGCAGCAACGCCGCGUGGAGGAUGAAGGUUUUAGGAUCGUAAACUCCUUUUGUUAGAGAAGAUUAUGACGGUAUCUAACGAAUAAGCACCGGCUAACUCCGUGCCAGCAGCCGCGGUCAUACGGAGGGUGCAAGCGUUACUCGGAAUAACUGGGCGUAAAGAGUGCGUAGGCGGGGUAAUAAGUCAGAUGUGAAAUCCUGUAGCUUAACUACAGAACUGCAUUUGAAACUGUUACUCUGGAGUGUGGUAGAGGUAGGUGGAAUUCUUGGUGUAGGGGUGAAAUCCGUAGAGAUCAAGAGGAAUACU